rnacentral:lncRNA from 1 species
UUUUCAGAAAACAGGAUGAGAGGAACCCGUCGAUCUGCGAGAUUGACUGGAGUGCCACCUGAGGAUGAGGGCACGAGCGCCCGUCCUCCUACAUUGCCUAGGGCAAUGUCUUGUAGAGCAAACAGAGAAAGAGUGUCAAGGGACCCUAGAAGGUCUUUUGAUGCUAGCAGAAGGGGGACUGAUAGAGGAGGAAAUUCUUCAGAUGUGAGGGAGGUUAUGGAAGAGGACCAGAGGAGGGAUGGGAACCUGGAGGUGAGCAUGGAGGAAGAGGGGAC